rnacentral:rRNA from 1 species
GACGAACGCUGGCGGCGUGCUUAACACAUGCAAGUCGAACGGAAAGGCCUCAGCUUGCUGGGGUACUCGAGUGGCGAACGGGUGAGUAACACGUGGGUGAUCUGCCUUGCACUCUGGGAUAAGCUUGGGAAACUGGGUCUAAUACCGGAUAUGAACUGCCUUUAGUGUGGUGGUUGGAAAGUUUUUUCGGUGCAAGAUGAGCUCGCGGCCUAUCAGCUUGUUGGUGGGGUAAUGGCCUACCAAGGCGUCGACGGGUAGCCGGCCUGAGAGGGUGUACGGCCACAUUGGGACUGAGAUACGGCCCAGACGCCUACGGGAGGCAGCAGUGGGGAAUAUUGCACAAUGGGCGGAAGCCUGAUGCAGCGACGCCGCGUGGGGGAUGACGGCCUUCGGGUUGUAAACUCCUUUCGACAGGGACGAAGCUUUUUGUGACGGUACCUUUAUAAGAAGCACCGGCUAACUACGUG